rnacentral:rRNA from 1 species
GACGAACGCUGGCGGCGUGCUUAACACAUGCAAGUCGAACGAUGAAGCCGGAGCUUGCUCUGGUGAAUUAGUGGCGAACGGGUGAGUAACACGUGAGUAACCUGCCCUUGACUCUGGGAUAACUGCGGGAAACUGUAGCUAAUACCGGAUACGACCCUCGGAGGCAUCUCCUGGGGGUGGAAAGAAUUUCGGUCAAGGAUGGACUCGCGGCCUAUCAGCUAGUUGGUGAGGUAAAGGCUCACCAAGGCGACGACGGGUAGCCGGCCUGAGAGGGUAACCGGCCACACUGGGACUGAGACACGGCCCAGACUCCUACGGGAGGCAGCAGGGGGGAAUAUUGCACAAUGGGCGCAAGCCUGAUUCAGCAACGCCGCGUGAGGGAUGACGGCCUUCGGGUUGUAAACCUCUUUUAGCAGGGAAGAAGCGAAAGUGACGGUACCUGCAGAAAAAGCACCGGCUAACUACGUGCCAGCCGCCGCCGUAA